GACGAACGCUGGCGGCGUGCUUAACACAUGCAAGUCGAACGAUGAAGCUGGAGCUUGCUCCGGUGGAUUAGUGGCGAACGGGUGAGUAACACGUGAGUAAUCUGCCCUUGACUCUGGGAUAACUGCGGGAAACUGUAGCUAAUACCGGAUACGACACCUUCGGGCAUCCGAUGGGUGUGGAAAGAAUUUCGGUCAAGGAUGAACUCGCGGCCUGUCAGCUAGUUGGUGAGGUAAUGGCUCACCAAGGCGACGACGGGUAGCCGGCCUGAGAGGGUGACUGGCCACACUGGGACUGAGACACGGCCCAGACUCCUACGGGAGGCAGCAGUGGGGAAUAUUGCACAAUGGGCGAAAGCCUGAUGCAGCAACGCCGCGUGAGGGAUGAAGGCCUUCGGGUUGUAAACCUCUUUUAGUUGGGAAGAAGCGAAAGUGACGGUACCAACAGAAAAAGCACCGGCUAACUACGUGCCAGCCGCCGCAGUAA
rnacentral:rRNA from 1 species